rnacentral:rRNA from 1 species
CAGAACGAACGCUGGCGGCGCGUCUUAAGCAUGCAAGUCGAACGGCAAGAGGUAGCAAUACCUCCUAGAGUGGCGGACUGGUGAGUAACACGUGGGUGACAUACCCUUCAGAUGGGGAUAGCUAUUAGAAAUAGUAGAUAAUACCGAAUACGAGCACAGGGGUUAGAGAUCUGUGAGGAAAGGAGCUAAGGCUCCGCUGAAGGAAUGGCCUGCGGCCCAUUAGCUAGUUGGUGAGGUAAGAGCCCACCAAGGCGAUGAUGGGUAUCCGGCCUUAGAGGGUGAACGGACACAUUGGGACUGAGAUACGGCCCAGACUCCUACGGGAGGCAGCGGCUAAGAAUAUUCCGCAAUGGACGAAAGUCUGACGGAGCGACGCCGCGUGGAUGAAGAAGGCCGGAAGGUUGUAAAAUCCUUUUGAAACUGAAGAAUAAGCGUUGUAGGGAAUGACAGCGUGGUGACAGUAGGUUUUGAAUAAGCAACGGCUAAUUACGUGCCAGCCGCCGC